UUCAGACCUAAUUAUUUGUAAACGUACGUUAUAAAUGACAUAUCGCUGAUUCGCUAGACUUACGCUGACUGGAAGUAUCUGCGUGAUUGGAGGUGGUCACUUCUUUCAUGCACCGGGCAUUUGGGCCAUCACCACAGUCCACAGUCCUCAUUUUUGUCGUGUUAACGGGAUCUAGGCAGCGUUUAUCAAUAUCAUUAACGGUUGCCUCGCACUGCCAGCACGAAAGACCGUUUGCAUCUAGAAAAGAACACAGUAAUAAUCUGUAUGCAGAAACUUACAAUAAUUGUAUUGUAUUGUUGAAUUAAAAUUAUAAGGACAAUUUUCAUAAUAUACUAUCAUAAUGAUUGUAAUCGAAGCAGUAAUCAUCCGCAAUUGUGACCUUUACGCUAUAAGUAUAACUUCGAGGUACAGAAAUGCGCGGAAAAUCUUUGACUUACAGUGAAAGGAAAUAGCCAUGAACACCACAACGGAACCAGCAAAACAUAAUAGGUUCUUUUGCUGCAUUUCGAUAUCCGUUUGUUAACUUGUGCCAGACGAAAUAAAAUUCUCGGACAACUUGUGGAGGAUAUGAUCACUUAAAAAAUACUCACAACGUUUAACAAGAGUUUCUGUAGCUUACGCUUACGAUGCUGCUCGAUAAAAAUUUUGAAAUGCACUAAAUAUUUUUGUGGCACACACCUUUUUGUAUUUAUACUCGUAUCAGCGGCGCGUUUACGUUGACGGGCUAAGCGCAAUGUGUCAAGGCUGAGUCAACUUACACAGAAUGCAUAAUUGUGUAUAGAUUUAUGAUAAGGGAUUUUCUAACUCACAGCGUUGGGGAACAUUCUUCCGAUCCCGGCCUAUUGACUUUAGUCACCUAACCAUCAGAAUACACGAGGCAUGUCAAUAAUUUAUUUUUACGACAUGUUACUCAAAUGUAUAACGGCAUCAUGCAUCAGUGGAUCAAAAUCAACCGAUUAGUGAUUAUGGGCGAAUGCAGGCCUAAAGAAACAGUAAGGCACGGCAUUCGUAAGGAAGAACUUGACGAUCCGGCAUGUCCACUGCCACGUGUGUCACCGAUGGGAUAGCCACCGCCUCCGGUGUACGUGAAGCAGUUCCGGUUAUCGGUCGCCACAAGAAAUCGCCGACUCCGACAGAAUUCUGCUCCGGUGGGAUACAGCAUUCCCACUAAAUCACCUAAAAUGUUUUGCAAUAUAUGUAAACGUUGUAUUACAGACAUCUAAAACGCAGGUAUCGAAUUCGGCUUAUGGGUAGCCGUGUGACUUUUCUAUCUGAGUGCAACCAGAUAAUAGUAAAUACGCAUUUUUUUACCUUUUAAUCUGGCGUCUUUGCAGGCGUCCAGCACAGUGUUACAAAAUGAACCACACAUGAUGAGCUGAU